AGAGCUUGUAUGCAGUGCCACCCUCAAACAAGUCCAUUUGUUCUCCAGCCACCAAUUCGCCAAAUUGCAGUCUCGAUAGUAAUAAUUGUGCGAUUCGGCAUCGCGGUGUGGUUGCAUAUGCUCGUGGCCGCCCUGUCGGCCUCCGCCAUGUGUCCCAUUCUGGGCCCGUGCCCCCGACAUGGAAUCCGUUUCUAGAUCAGACCCCCUAGGUGGACCCCCCAAAUGCACAUUUUGAAAGUAAAAAAAUAUCAAGCAAAACACCCCGAUUUUCAAGGGUAAAACACCCCGAAUUUCAAGGGUAAACAGAAAAGCAGAAAAAAUCGUGAAAACACCCCCGUUGAAAAUGUGAGCCAGACGUAACAAAACUGAAUCUGUGGUUUUUGUUGAAAAAAAUGUAAAAUGUGAGCCAGAUUUUUUAUGCCAAAAAUAUAGGAAACAACCCAGUAUUCUUUUAUUGUUAUACAUAUACCCUGGGACCGUAUUCUUUUUUAUUUUUUAUGAUUUCUAAAAAAAUGUGAUAUAUGUAGCUAUUAAAAUUAUUGACUCGAUUGGUAUGCAACCAAUAUUACACGCAAUUUUAUUUUUCAUGUUGGCAUUGGCAAUUCUACGUACAAUCUGAUCUGUCAGUCUGUCACCAUCAGCUGUUUUCUUUACUCAUUUAUCUAAUUGUCUACUUGAAAUCUGUGACUUGAUACUAGACUUUUAAAAUCGCUGUAGCCCGACAAUUAAAUUAAACCUGAUCUUUCUUCCCCUACCACUUUGUUAAUCACCCCCCCCCCACAACUGAUGAUUGUCAGUACUGCCAAAUGUUUUUGGUUAUGUUUUGAUGGUGUUUUCAUUAUCAAGUAAGAAAUGAACUGUAAUUACCGAAAAUAAUUAAUAACGUAAAGAAAUAAUUCAAAAACAAUAAUUGUAGUGUCAGUUGUUGUGUUGUAAGGUAAAUAAACGCGUCUCCACGAUCAGCUGAUCGGCUUCUCGGAUUAUUGCCUGUGAAGGUGGCGCAAUUGUUGGAAAGCAGUGAAAGCACGUGUAUUUCAUUUGUCGAGUGUGUCGAGCUACACGUCAUUUUCAAAGGGGAAGUUUUAAGAAGUCUCUUGAUCUAGGUUCACGAAAGCGAGAAAAAUCAUGCCAACAAGAUUUGAAGACAUUCUAAAGGACUUGAAAUUAGACUCUAAGGAUAGACAAAUACUUGAAUUGUGCCAUAAGCAUGAGUUGGAGUUGGAGUUACUAAAAAAAGGCAAUGAGUUGGAGUUACUAAAAAAAGACCAUGAGCACCAACUUGAUAAGCUGAAAACAGAACUUUCAGCUGCCAACUGGGAAAACUUAAAACAUUUGAAACUCGUGCAAGUAAGAAGUUUCAUUGACUCGUUCGAUAAUGUCAAAAAGUUGGAUCAAAAUAUUUCAAGAAAAGUUAGAUUUACAAAAUUUGCUAAGGAGAAUGAAGACCGAUUGAAGUCAUGGAACUUAUCAACUGAAUCUUUUUGUCAAAUCUUUCAACACUUGUACGUCAAAUUGUGCGACUCCGCUCACCCUGUAUUCACCACUGAAGACACACUGGAAAUAGGGGGGUCGCACCUGGAAGAUAAAGAAAUUCGAAUAAUCGGAUUUUUAUGGGAAAUGUACCCACUGCCGCCAGAAAAAUUAUUAAUUAGAAUAAUGGAUAAAUCAGAAAGUGUUGAAGUUAUGAAAAUAAAAACCGAAUUAUAGAGAUAUAAGGUUUUUCAUGUGAUUCAAAAAAUUAUUCAUUACCUAUUUAGUAAAAAAAAAGGAUUAUUAAUUUAUUAUAGUUUCCAAUUGAUUUAUUAUUAAUAAUUGACAACGAAAAGGAUUAAUAUCCAAACGGUAUUGUGUCAAAGUUUUUUAGAAUAACUCUCUUAUCAUAAACAACACCAAAUUCUUUUGUUUCUAUUUUAUUUAAAAGUUCUUUAGUUUUAGUAUCUCUGGUAAUUCGAUUAUACUGUGGGUGGUGUUAGAAAGUAUGGUGCUCCAACUCCCUUCAUUUGUUUUAAACUGGAACGAACUGACGAGGUCGGGAACCAUUUCAUACAUUGGCCAUUAGAUAGCGCUUUUUGAAUUUGAUGUAAAGGUAUCCUUAUUACCGAUCACAAUUUUGAAUUUCAAAAAUGCUUCAAAUUUGAUUUCAGUGACAGUAGCAUUUUGGCAGAUAAGAUUCAAUUUACUGAAAAAAGGAAGAUAGUGAUACUAUUAUCGGUCUUUAAUUGAGUGACGGGCACAUCAAACUGAUAUUUUGUGAUGAUUUGUGUUUUCAGUGUAAUUUUAAUACACUUGUGUAUGUAAAAUUUUCACAAGAAGUGGCUCCCAAAGACAAGUUCACACACUUACAUACGUAAGAGACUUACACCCAAUUGUAAUUAAUUUCUUCCUGUAGUUUUGAAUAAAAAUAUUAAUAACUUUAUUAAUUACUAUGAUUUCUUAUUUUAUACGAAAUUACUACGAAGAAAUAUAAAAAUAAAACAACCCUGGCCUUUUGAAGUAAGUUAUUAAAACAGAUUUCAUAUUUAUAGUAAUUGCUAUUAAAAUAUAAUUAUGUAUAGAGUUGUCUGCUAUCAUUUGUAAGUGAAGUUGUGUAGAAGUCAUAGUCAAAAGUUGCAGCAGAGAAGUUUAUUAAAGGUUUGCAAAAUGCCUAAAACAUGCUGCAUAUGUUUAUCUUCAAAAGGAGAAAGUAAAAACUCAACAUUCUUCCCUAUCCCGAGAGUAUAAAUUAGAAGGUGUUUAUUAUUUUGAAAUGUUAUGUCCUUUGUAGAGCAAUGAAGACUUAAAAAAGUGGGAAUAUAUUUUAAAACGAGAAAUCCCCACAGUAGGAUAUAUUUGUCAUCAACACUUUGAUGAAAAUUAUUUAAUACGACAAGCACGGAGGAUUAUGCUUAAUAAACAAAAAAUUUAUUCGUAAGUCAAAAGUAUUAGAAUUCCAAAUAAAAUUAUUGAUCAUUCUUAAAAAAAUACUGUAAUUAAGCUCAUCAUUUAAUCAAUACAUUUACUUGGAAGCUUAUAUAUUUUCAAUAAAUCUUUAUUACAUUUUAAAACCUUUUAUAUCUCCUUAAAGUGUUGAAUUAGAGUUUCAAAGUUAUACACCAGUCGUCCGUGAUGGUGAUGAACACCAUGGUGAACAUGUUAAAAACACAACAGAGUAUAAUCAAUUUUCCAAUCCUCCUGCAUUGUCUAACAUUCAAGUGAUAACAGAUAGUAAUUCGUAAGUGCCAUCUAAAAAGAAAUUUAAAUUAUAAAUCUUUCUUCAAUUUCAAUCAAUUUCAGAAAUAUUUGUGGUACAAAUUCCAAAUUACUUAAUAAUUUAAUCACCAAAAAUAUGAAUAUUUUAUCCCUUUUUGAAGGCAUUUUGACCAACAAAAUAAUUAUGCUUUUGCCACCUGAAUGGGCGGUUCACAAAAACGAAAAGUAUAUAAUAUAUUCUAAAUUACUUGUUAAAUGCCACAACUCAUUACAUCCUGAAAUUGAAAAGUCCAUAACCAUAGAUAGAGCCCUACGUCCACGAGUUUAUAUAAAUAACAUUAAAAUUUUUUAUCCAAAACAUAAAGUGAUUACAAGUCCUGAGUUACUACAAGAGUUGAUAAACAAAGUUGCUGUUAAAAAAUAUCAUGCAAAGAAAUUGAAGACAAGUGCAUAUAAAAAUAAAUUUUUCUAUAUUAAGAAACAAAAAUCAAAAUUGAGAGAUUUGGUGGCCACAAAAAGAAAGCAAGAAGUAAAUAUUUAUAAAUUAGAACACUUUAUUGGAAAUCUACCAGAACAACAAAAAGAAUUAGUUUCAACCUGUUUAGAAACUUCCCAAAAAAAUAAGCAUGGGGUACGAUACACACAAAAUUGGGUAUAUACUUGUCUUCUAAUGAGAAUAAAAAGCCCCAAAUUAUAUGAGCAUAUGAGAAGAGAAAAACUUAUGCCAUUACCUUGCCAUAACACAUUAUUAAAUUAUAUAAAAAAAAUUGACGGCAAUUUUGGUUUUAAAACAAAAUUAUUUGAUGUUUUAAAAGAAAAAACUAAAUUUAUGAAAGAGUGGGAAAAACACGGAUGUCUUUUAUUGGAUGAAUGUAAAAUUUCUCCAUCAAAGCAUUUUGACAAGACAAAAAUGGAGUUACUGGGCUUUGUGAAUUUAGGGGAAUACACUCCCGAAAAAGACAGAGACAGUUUGGGAGAUCAUGCCCUAGUACUGAUGUUUCAACCUUUUGCCGGAAAAUCUAUUCAAGCACUAGGAUGUUUUUUGUCAAAGGGAAAUGUUACGGGUGCUGUUCAAGCGAAAUUAGUGCUUGAAUGUAUUCUCCAUUGCGAAAAUGCCGGGCUCUACAUUGACGCGGUAACAAGCGAUGGGGCUGCUUGGAAUCGGUCUAUGUGGAAAGAAUUUGGAAUAGAGGACCCAUUGCGUCCGUGGUGUGUUCACCCAGUUGACAAAGGACGAUUGCUUAGAUUUGCUUCAGACUGGCCGCAUUUGAUCAAAUGUUUACGCAAUUUAUUAAUAUCAAAAAAGGAGUUUAUAGUAAGAAUAUUACAUGUUUAUCUUUCCAUAAUGCAUUGCAUUGCUCUUUUUUAAGACGCCUGAAGGAAUUGUGAAACAUUCUCAUUUUGAUAUCUUAUAUAAACAUGAAUUAAAAUAUGAAUUUAAAAUUGGAUUUAAACUAUCGUAUAAACACAUUUGGCCAAAAAAUUAUGAAAAAAUGUCCGCAAAAUUAGCUUUCCAAGUAAAAUUCGUACCUCUUGUGAUAUAUUUCCGUUUACCGUUUAUUUUAGCUUUUUAGCAAUAGCGUAGCUCUAGCUUUAAGAUCUUACGCCAAUGAAGUACCAGGUUUAUUUGAUUCGGAACCAACUUCAAAAUUCUGUGAACGUGUAAAUAAAAUUAUAGAUAUUAUGAACUCUUCUUUACCCAGUAAAGCUCUGAAAUAUGAUUCAGAAGAUUACAAGGUAAGUACAAAUAAAUAAACACAGUUAAAGAAUAAUACAUAUCACAGUUUUUAAUAGUUUGUAUUUUUAAUGAAUAUGUAGGUAUACACACAUGUUAACUAGGUUUAAUGAGCUUAUUAUUUUUAGGAUUUGGAAGGAUUUUUGAUUUAUUUAGAUCUAUGGGAGCAGUGUUCACCCAAACAAAAUUUUAUAUCUAAAUCUACAUUUGAUGGCAUGAGAGCUACAAUUUCGGCGACCUUAAAUUUAUUAAAAUAUUUACAUGCUUUGGGAUUUAAAUACUUAAUGACAACGAGACUUAAUCAAGACUCUUGAACACUUCUUUGGAAUGAUGCGCGCAGCUGGAGGAUGCAAUAAUCAUGCAGAAUCUUUACAAAUCGGCCAAAUUUUUCGUUUAAUGUCCCUAUAUUCACUUGUAAAACCUCCUCGGGGCAGUAACAUAUCAGGAGGGGAAAUGUUAAAAACUUUAAUAAGUGUAAAUGAUAAUGAAAAUGCUGUAUUAGGAAUCGACAAGAAAACAAAAUUCAACUUAACAUUUAAUCAUCUAUCAGAUGAUAACGAAUCAAUGCCGCAUGUUGAAACUUUUAAUGAUAAUAACGAAGCCUUUGCUUAUGUUUGUGGUUAUUUGGCAAAACAAUAUAAAAAAAUCGAAUGUGACGAAUGUAAGCAAUUCAUUAUUGGAAAAGGGGUCGAAAAUUUUAAUUCAAUUAUAAAAGAAAAAAGCAGAGGCUAUUUAACAUUUCCGGCAGAGUAUUUAUAUUAUUUUCUUCAAGAACUCGAAAUUUUACUUAGUGACAUCUUUAAAAACGAAUUACGACAAAAUACUCUUUACAAAAUUACCGAAAUUCUAAAAAAUUAUCAGUUCAGAAAUAAACUUGGAUGUUCGGUACAUGCAGAAACUCUAAUGAACGAGAUUGUUCAUAAGUUCAUUGUUCUGAGACUAAAUUUAACGUGUAAAAAAGAAGCCAAAAAACGAUCCAGCGAAAGCAAAUCUAAACACUUUGCAAAAAUGGCCAAAUUGUGUUAAUUUCACUAAUUACCCAUAUUUGUCAUCACAAAAGAAGUUCACUUGAAAGUCUGUUAAAAUUGAAACAAGGCUGAUUCCUGUAUGCAAAUGAGCUUGCUUGCAAAGACGGUUACACUCGAUGGAUUGAAGCUUUUUCUACACACCUACAAGUAGUACAUAGUUCAAAACCAUUUUGACUAUGGUGAUAAGCGUUGCUGUAUUCUAACACUUUCGAAAAUCAAGUGCAACUACCGUUUGUACAGACUAUUCAAGAGAUUAUUGUAUUGAAACCAUUUUACUGCUAAAUAAAUCAAUUCCACUUUAAAGAUCAUACUUGUGAUUCAUUAACUAAUAUAAUUCCUGGCACAGGUUCGUAGAUAGUCGUAAACACCGUAAACAGCCUUAGACCACAGAAUUUAAUAUGUUGUGUCAAUAUGACGUAAGUUUGAAAAUUAGUCAAAAAUUUGUAGAACAGCUCCAUCUGCUGAACAAUGUUGAAAAAAGUUCCCGACCUUGCCAGUUGCUAGCAUUGCGUUCAGUUGACAUUUUUAUAUGGGGAAUUAAAGGGAGUUGUGACACCAUAUAUCAUACAUCAUCAUACUGUGUACUAAUUUUUUUGUCUCCCUUGUGUGCACUUCAUUUUUGUGCUCAAGUGGCCCAAUAGAAAAACAGGGCAAAAAGCGAAUUUUAACUUUUAACAAAGGUACCUUGAAAAACGGGGUAGAUCUGAUAAAAAAUGGUGUGUGCCGAACAAGCCCAUAUAGUUUUGCUUUUCUUAAACAUACCUUUGAAAACAAGGUCAAAAUGCUUAAAAGGUGUUGUGUGCUGAAGGGGCCUUUAUAGUAGUAUUUAUACUUUGACAAUUUGAAACGGACUUUAUGUAUAGCCAAACACUUCCUUGUUUUCUUAUGUCUUACUUAUAAACAAAAAAUAAAGAGCUAAAAAAUCUAACAAAGGAAAAUAACUUGAAGACGACACGCCAAUCGAAUAAGGAUUUAGUGAGAAUAGAUAAACAAGUAAAAAUAAGAAAAAACUAAAAAAAUAUUAGUUACCAUAGAAACAAAAAAAACAAUGAUACGACCAAAAACAAAUUAAAGAGAAAUUUUGAGAGCAAAGUAAAAGCUAGUCAAGAAAACAAGCUUUUCUACAAAGUAAUAAAAAACAAAAAGAAAAAACAACAGUAACAAAAAACAAACAGAUUUAGUAGGAAACUAGUCGAUUAAACCAAUUUUGUUUCUGUAACUAGACCCAAAAAAGUAACUUCGUCAAAAAAACACAGCAACACAAGUACAUGUUUUACGAAAAAAUGUAAUAAUGGCAAUAUUUUUUCUAAAACAAAAACUUCUUAAAUACCUGCAGUAAUUUUUAAAAGAUAUCUUAGAAAAGAAAAGAGAAAUUUAAAAAUCUAGUGCAUGUUUGGUGACUUUACAAAGAACUUUUCAGGUAUUUUGAUUUAAUUUUUGAAACUCCCUUGAAUUUUUAGAGAACUUGAGCUAGAACUGGGUUGUACUUCAUACAAAUAAACUAAAUAAAAACAAAGAAUAGUUUAAAAUUUCAGAGAAAAUUGAUAAAAAGAGUGAAAUUAAAAGCAGACACAUUUACUGAUUUGUUUUUAUCAGAUUCCAAGGCUCGAAAAUUAAUAGAAUUUUUCAGUUUACAAUACAAAACUAAAGUAUUUUUUAAUAAAACAUCUUUAGAAACUUUUAUUGAUCGUUUCUAAUACUAGGUUUCUACUUCUUUAUAAAAAUGUAUUACACAAAAACUGAGAAUACUAGAAAAAUAAGGUUUUAACCAUUUUAAGAAGCAAAGUUCAAGUUGUAGGUAAUAGUUAUUUAGCCUUUUGCAAUUUGAGUAUCAAAUCAUGAAUCACUAAUCAGUAAGAAAUACUCAACUGUUAAUGUUUUUAUUUUUUAUAGAAUGAAAAAAUAUACAAGUUUUAUUAAGAGAAUAAUUCAUAUUUUAACUUUUCGAAUGCAACUGCAACCGUUCUUCUUUCAAGCUGACCCUAUUUGAUUUUUCAAUUAUUUUUGAAUUUAAUGAAGAGAAUUUUACAAUAAAUUUGCUUUUUCAAAAAAAAAAAAACUGAGCAAGCUCUUCCAAAAAAAAAGCUGCAAAACGUCAGCAUGUAUAUAGGUGAUACACAAAAUUUGUAUCCAUAAAUUUUGUGCAAAAUUAUUUACAUAAAUAUUUUAAUGGUUCAUCAAAAAACUUCAGAAAAACUUAGAGAAACUUGUAGUACUUAUCUAAUGCCCUAAAAACGUUAAAAUUUUAUGACAUACAGUCCAUCACGUCAGAUCAAUUAUUAAUAAGUAUUUAUAAAAAUUCGAGUAAAAACGUAAAAUUUUUACAGUAGAUAGAUGCACUCCUUUUACCAAAAAGGCACAGUACUUUAAACAACAGAAAUUAAACAAAUCUUUCAAUUUACAUGGAUUAGUUCACGACGGCGUUUAAUAAUAAUAAUAAUAAUAAUAAUAAUAAUAAUAAAAAUUAUAAAUAAGUGUUUAUUUUUUGUGUAGUCGAACCACAGAUGCUUGCCUUUGAUGAACUGAAGGUUGAAUUACGACCUCUGAGAAUACUCAAAAUACCAAAAAAAAAUUAUGUAUCUACUUAAAUAAAAAAAAUCCUUUAAAUAUUUAAAUCCUUUGUGAGAAUACACAGUAGUAUGACUAGACAUUUCUCCUUUCCAGACAUCCUUUUUCCAGUCAGUGAUUUAAUUAUUGUCACUAAAUAACAUAGGUACAGCAUGUACUACCAAAUUAGUGGUAAAUUUAAUACAAAACCAUAGAUUCUUUAACUUUAAAUAUUCUCUAAAGAUCGACUGUACAGUAAAAUAGCGAUACAGGACUGUACUUUUUUUGUCAUUUUAUUUUCUAUUUACAGAGAUUUAAAACUAUGUAAAAAACUAAAGAACAGAGCUGAUAUUUUUAAUUUUUCACUAAUAUGUGGAGGUAGAAACUAUGACACAAAUGUGUACAAUUUUAUACCUAGUGUCUUUAUUUCAUUCCAAAGUUACCAACUUAAUUUCAAACUAACUAAAAACAUAAUAAUUUUUUCAAAGAGAUUAAAAACUGGAGAAAAUAUAAACACUUACAAAUUUUACUUUUUCUUUUUUAUUAGUUUUUUAUUACUUUUUCAAAAUUUGUUAUCGAUUUUUUUCAAAACAAGUAAAGUUAUAAUUAAGGAGGUAAAGUAAUAAAGACUGAUUUGCUGGAUAAGAAAAAAGAAUAAAAUAAUUACAGGGUCAGUCAACUAUUGACCAUUUCUGAAAUUUUGUUAUAUGUUAACUGCAGCUAUAUUGUCAACUUUGACUUGAGUUUUUUUCAAAAAAUCCGACAACUAUUUACAUUUAAUUUUAUUACUGUGACGGGUAGGAAUGUAUUGUAGGUAAAUAAACGCGUCUCCACGAUCAGCUGAUCGGCUUCUCGGAUUAUUGCCUGUGAAGGUGGCGCAAUUGUUGGAAAGCAGUGAAAGCACGUGUAUUUCAUUUGUCGAGUGUGUCGAGCUACACGUCAUUUUCAAAGGGGAAGUUUUAAGAAGUCUCUUGAUCUAGGUUCACAAAAGCGAGAAAAAUCAUGCCAACAAGAUUUGAAGACAUUCUAAAGGACUUGAAAUUAGACUCUAAGGAUAGACAAAUACUUGAAUUGUGCCAUAAGCAUGAGUUGGAGUUGGAGUUACUAAAAAAAGGCAAUGAGUUGGAGUUAGAGUUACUAAAAAAAGGCAAUGAGUUGGAGUUAGAGUUACUAAAAAAAGACCAUGAGCACCAACUUGAUAAGCUGAAAACAGAACUUUCAGCUGCCAACUGGGAAAACUUAAAACAUUUGAAACUCGUGCAAGUAAGAAGUUUCAUUGACUCGUUCGAUAAUGUCAAAAAGUUGGAUCAAAAUAUUUCAAGAAAAGUUAGAUUUACAAAAUUUGCUAAGGAGAAUGAAGACCGAUUGAAGUCAUGGAACUUAUCAACUGAAUCUUUUUGUCAAAUCUUUCAACACUUGUACGUCAAAUUGUGCGACUCCGCUCACCCUGUAUUCACCACUGAAGACACACUGGAAAUAGGGGGGUCGCACCUGGAAGAUAAAGAAAUUCGAAUAAUCGGAUUUUUAUGGGAAAUGUACCCACUGCCCCCAGAAAAAUUAUUAAUUAGAAUAAUGGAUAAAUCAGAAAGUGUUGAAGUUAUGAAAAUAAAAACCGAAUUAUAGAGAUAUAA